rnacentral:lncRNA from 1 species
AUGAGGAGGGGCCUUUCACAAAUAUAUAUAUAUAUAUAUGAGUGUGUGUAAAAAGUUGAAUUCAUAACAUGUUGACAUAUGCAAUUUGUGUAAUCCUCACAAAACUGAAAAAAAAUUCUCUUAAAUUCAAUACUAAGAAGAAAAAAAUAUAAAAACUCAGACAACCAAGUAAGAGGUAGGUUGUGGAAGGCUAAAAAAAAUACAAAGAAGUAGAAAAAGAAGGAAAAGGGGGGGGGAGGUCUGCAAAUAAAGAAGGUGGGUUGGUUUAGAAAAUUAUAAGGUGUAUAUUACUGUUAGGUGAGAGAAUCGAACCAGAAGUGGGGUUGCUUUUUCCAUUUAAAAUUGCACAUCUCUUUUGAAACUCUCCUGCCAAACUUAUCAUUUCAUUAGAUAGCCGAAAAGAUUUAAAAUCAAAACAGUUUAACGACGUCGUUUUCUUCAUCUUCUUCCAUGAGGUUCACACUUCAGAUGAAGUCAGGAUGGGCCAGAGACUACCCUAGUCCCUUGGUGGCUCUGCUCCUGAUUUGUAUAUAUCAUCUCGUAUACCGGUCACACUGAAAAAUAUAAGAGAGGUGAGGAUUUCAUUUGAAGUGAAUCGUGAUAUUAUACGUUUUAAGUCCACGGUCUUCCGAGGGUCCCGCAUGCAAGUUGCCAAAACCGGAGCGCUGAAGACCGUGGGUCAGCCUUUUUUGGGGUUUGCCUAUGUGGAUUUAUUUUGUUCUGAUUGUAACGUGGGUCCUCCUUUCUUUUAGAUUCCUCCCUAAUUUUUAAUUCGGAUAAUACGGAGUAUUUACGUGUAAUUCUCCUUUUUAAUUGUUUUUUUCUUCCCUUAAUUACUUUCCCGAAAACAACGGACGUGCGGUAUUCUCGAAGUCCUGUCUUUCCGUUAUGUUAUCGCCACUCCUUACAAGUGGGAACUCAAGAAUAUAAAUGCUGGCCGGUCACGGGUAAUCUUAGCAUCAAUUAUUUGGUGUGUUUGAGGUGCAUCCUCUCCAAUAAAAUUGUUUGGUUCUUUUUUUUUCGUCUUUGAUGAUAAUCGAACUUAAAAUCUCUCACUUACCAGUAAAGAAGAAUAUCACUAGACCGUAGUACUAAGUGGUGAAAAAUGAUAUUAUCUAUAUUAAGAGGGAGAAGGUAGGCUUAGCCUCAGAAUAAGCUACCAAUAAUGUGGUUCAAACUCGCAUUUGAAGAUAAUUGAACCGAAGAUAUUUUACUUACAAGCGAAGAUGAAUACUAUUAUAUUAUAGUACUUAGUGGCAACUUGUUUGGGUUUUGAUUGUACAAUACAUUACUCUAUACAAAUACGACAUCUAGACAACAGGUUAUAUCUUUUCAUAUUCGUGUAGUGUUGAUCACAAACUACAUAUUAACCGAUCGUUUGUUGACAAAUGCUAAGCGAAUGAAUGAAGAGAGCUCAAGUUCAACUACUUAUGUGGUCCAAUACAUCUUUAAAUUACCCACUAUUGUCUAUGUGUCCAACAGUUAUUAAUUUUGAAUAGAUAACCCGAACCCAAUCAACAAUUUCUCGUAUAAAUUUGUGUCAUGUAACGGUUUAUGUACGAUACAACCACGUACUUAUUUAAUUUUGAAAACCCUAAAUACAAGUACUAACUAGUUCAUUGCAUACUAAAACUACACUGGUGUAUAAACUUCUUUGGUUUUGUAUGGUGAUUAAUUUGCCAAGCGAUUAGGUCAUCAUUCAGUAGAUGGCCACAUUAGUGUGUUUAAACCUCAGUUACUAUUAAAUACAUGAUGAUUAGAUCAUUAAGACGACGUUUAACUAUAUUAUAUCCCACCAAACUCUUAGCUUCCUGGUCUUAAUCUUUCUUCUAAACCUAAUUUGAUAACAAAUAGGUAUAUAAUAUUUAGAUAUAUGCAAAUUCAUAUGAUCCUAUCUUUAUGCACUAAUUUGUUUCGAAGUUUGUAGCUCUCUCACUGGUCCUCCCUAAUCUCCAUUUCCAUAUAAAAUUUACAUUGUUUAUCUCUUACUCGGUAGCAGCCUCACAAUGCCUAUCCUUUUCACAAUAGGACAUUUAAUUAAUAUAUAUCCGCUCCUUAAUUAAUCCAAUUAAGACAUUGUUCAGGUGCUUUACCUUUUUUAUUAACCUUUUAUUAAUAAAUUAAUUAUAACUAAUGUUUGAUUAAUUCGAAAUUACUAUAUAUAGUGGGCGGAGUGACGAGGAACCUCAAUUCACAUGUCACGAUAUCCCAAUCUAGUCAGUGCUUAGUGACACUGAUAUCAAAAGUUAAUUAAAAGUAUGUGUUUAUCUGUUUCUUAUAUAAUUAUUAAAUUAAUUAAAGAUUUUUGUGUUAAUCUGAAUAGUGAUUUAUGUAUAUUAACGCUUAGUGUCGGCAGUUUCCAAGCCAUUAGGGCAAUUUUCAGUUGAUGGUGUACUGAAGAUCACUACGCCACCUCAUACCCUCUCAACAUGUUCCAUGUCAAAUUAACUUUACAUAAAUCACUUCAGGGUGAUAUUGGGGACGAAUUUUAAGUUUUUAUUUCACACGAACAUACUGGAUUCUUAUAAUAGUAGUUAGAGAUAAGCUAAAGUACAUAUGUAUAUCUUCUUAGCCCUCAAAAAAAUAUACUACCGUAGUUAUAAUAGUAGUUAGAGAUAAGCUAAAGUACAUAUGUAUAUCUUCUAAGCCCUCAAAAAAAUAUACUACCGUAGCAAGUCACUAGUUGGUGUCGGAAACAAAAAUGGGAAUCUUUGAUAUGGAUGCUUUUUAUUGAUUGAUUGAAAAAAAUAUAUGGGAAUCUUUGAUAUGGAUGCUUGAAGAUAAAAAGAUUGAAGGGAUAUAUAUAUAUAUAUAUAUAUAUGUAUGUAUGUAUAUGUAGAAAUUAGUUGAUUAAAUGGCCAAUCGCUAGAAACCAACAUACAAUAUGUGACAAAGAUAAGUUUAACAUAUAACACCCACAAGAUUGAAUUUUAUUUUAUUUUUUAUUGAACUUUAUGUUUUCAAGUAUGAUCUCAUAUUGUGCGCCCCAAAAACUACAGAAAGGAAAGAAAAAAAGUCACCACGUCGAGGAAAUGGGUAAUGUUCGUUUGGAUAAGCAAAAGAAGUGGCUUCAAUCUAGGGCGAGCCUCCCUCUUCCUCCCUCUUCACCCACAACAAAUUGAGGAAUCAUUACAUAUGGUCUUCUAUGGCGAAUACACACAUGGUUGUCUUCGGCGAGUAUGUACGCCGAUUCUUAAUGUGUUAGUAAUUAUCAGUCAAUCAAUCAAGUCAAAUUGGAGUGGACGAAUCGAAUCGAGCACGAGUGUCCGAUUCAAAAAUAGUCGAGAGUUGGAAUUCCUUGAACCAGCUGUUCUCUUUCCGUUGACAGACAGUAAAGAGAGAGAAUGAGAUUUGUCGACGGCGAGGAGGAGGGGUCUUGGUUGUAUUAUUGGGAAGUUUUGGCUCUAUCAUUUUUUUUUUUUUUACAACACAAAGUAAUAAGACUUAAAACAAUUAAAAUCUCCGUUCAGUAAGAGGAUACAUGAUGAUCAAACGAAAAAGAGACACAUGAAGCAAACAUCAAAUUGGGAACAACAAACAUGCAGUCGAUUUUUUCAGCCAUGGAUCUGUUGUCCCCAAAUUAGUGUCUCCCAUGUGACUUCUUUGUAAAGAAUGACCAACUAAUUAUAUUGUCGAAUCACAUGCAUGAAAUCAUUAGAUAAUGCUAGUGCUAUGCUUCAAACACCAAACCCUAGUGGGUGCAUGUAUGUCAGUAUAUGUGAGGGAAAGAGAUCCUCUCUUGAUCCCUUUCUCCUAAUCAACCAAGUUUGGGGAUUCGAACUUUUGAAAUUUGAUCUAACGGCUAAAGUUAUUAUAACUUUUAAAGUGGAUCCUUAUUUGUAGACGUUGGAUCAAAUUUCAAUGGUUCAAAUCCCCAAACUUAAUGAAUUAGGAAGAAGGGAUCCGGAAAUGAUCUCUUUCCAUAUGUGAGGUUAUUUAUGUUGCCGACAUGGCACGUAUAAAAGAACUAGAAGGCCACGUAGUCAACUUAGACUUUGCCACUUGGGGGUCGUAGUUGGCCACCAUUACCUAAAUAAUACGAGCCAAAUAGCAACAAAAUUAUAUCAGCAAAUAGUUUAGCCUCAAUCCUCAAAUAUUGAGAUUGAUCGUGACUGUCUUUUGUUUUCUUAUCUUGCAGAUUGAGGUGUAUUGUCUGCCCUCUUAUUUUUAUACUUUUUUCAUCACCUUCUAUUUUGUGUGGUUACGGUUAAACAAAGUUAAUAUUUUAUAUUUUAUUAUUUUUAUAAAAAAAUCAAUAUAAAAUAUUGACGUGGCUUAACCACACAAAUAAAAGAUUAUGAGAAGAGUAUAAAAAUGGGAAGACAGACAAUCCACCUCUCUUGCAGAUAAGUGUUAUCUUUCUCCCCCAAUAACACGUCAUUCCCCAUGCCACUGGCACUACCUGCCAACUUAUUUAUCUUCACAAUAUUUUUCUUGUCUGAUUAAUAUUUUAUUUUAUUGUUUUUAUAUUACUCACACUUGCCUAAAUUAUGUGGGUGAGGUCAGGUAGUGAUGAAUAAUUAACCACGAGCUAGUGGUUUAGUGGUAAAAUAUCGACUACAAUACUUUCUUCAAAUUAAAAACUGAAAGUCUUGGAUUCGAAACCUACUGUUGGUAUGGAAGUCAGACUUGUAGCCAGAUGAAGGCUGAAAUGCCUAUGUGAGUUUUCCCGGCCACCAGAAAUAAUGGAUAACUAUAACUUGCUACCAAUUCUCUCUCUUUUUAAAGGAAAAAGCCAAUGAUGAAUUAUUUAAUUAAGAAAAAUAAUAAAACUAUAGAAAAUUUAAACGAGUGCACCAGAAGCUAAAGUGUUGAAGAACUAAUCCAUCUCAAAACGAGGUCAACCAAGUCAAUGGGUUGUAAAUUAGUUUGGACUAAUCCGCACUUAGAGGAAGAUUAAUCACUGUUUGACUUGGAAGUUCAGCUAUGCGGUGGCAGAUGGCAAAUUAUAUAUAUAUAUGUGUGAAAAUGUUAUAAAUUUAUUUUGAAUUAGGAGAAGCCAACAAGUUUGAUGGUUUUGAUUAAUCUGAAAAACAAAAGAAUGUUAUGGGUUAUCUCAGUCAAGGGUUAACCGGUUGGGUGGUGACCGGUUUUGGUUUCAACUUUCAUCUUAACGCAAAAUACCACAUAACUUAUGACGGUUUACAGAGUUUUUAGGCAUAUACACUCAGUGUCGGAGUUUUAUGGACUAUGAUUUUCUCAUUUUCAAAAACUCAUUCCGCUUUUCUCUCUUCCUAUUUGAACAAUCACGACUAAACUAUAUUAACAUUUUUGUAUUAACUUCUUUAUAUAGAGACACAUAAAGAAAA